rnacentral:rRNA from 1 species
UACAGAGGGGGCAAGCGUUAUUCGGAAUUAUUGGGCGUAAAGGGCGCGUAGGCGGCUUGGCAAGUGGAUGGUGAAAUCCCUCGGCUUAACCGAGGAACGGCCGUCCAAACUGCUUCGCUUGAGACCGGGAGAGGUGAGUGGAAUUCCCAGUGUAGCGGUGAAAUGCGUAGAUAUUGGGAGGAACACCAGCGGCGAAGGCGGCACUCUGGGCUGGUACGUGACGCUGAGGAGCGAAAGCGUGGGUAGCAAACGAGG